CAACUUUCAGCAACGGAUCUCUUGGCUCUCGCAUCGAUGAAGAACGCAGCGAAAUGCGAUAAGUAAUGUGAAUUGCAGAAUUCAGUGGAUCAUCGAAUCUUUGAACGCACCUUGCGCUCCUUGGUAUUCCGAGGAGCAUGCCUGUUUGAGUGUCAUUA
rnacentral:rRNA from 1 species